ACCUUGGAUUCCCUUUGACAACAGACAGCAUCAAAGCAACCAUCCUGGUGAGUAUAUAUGCUUCACAAUUAAUGUUCUACCAGGAGUGCUGAUCAAGAACAUUUGAUCUACUUUCUAUAUAUAUAUAUAUAUAUUCUAAGCUUAUAAGGCACCUUCUGCAAAGUUUUUGAAGACACAUCCAAAGUCAACGGUCCAUCGUUGAACCAGAUGUUUUGAAACAGUGAAUUUCAACGGCCAGAGACAUGGCCGGAUCUGGCCAUAGAGGUGACCGGAUUUUAGAGGCAUCCGUCAUGACUCACUGGCCGCGCCAGACCACGUGGAAGUACUAGCGCAUUUUGAAGGCCUUCAAAGACACUAGAGAAAGCAC
rnacentral:lncRNA from 1 species